GACGAACGCUGGCGGCGUGCUUAACACAUGCAAGUCGAACGGUGAAGCGCCUUCCUUUUUGGUGGGUGUGGAUGAGUGGCGAACGGGUGAGUAACACGUGAGUAACCUGCCCCCUUCUUCUGGAUAACCGCAUGAAAGUGUGGCUAAUACGGGAUAUUCUGGGUCUGUCGCAUGAUGGGUCUGGGAAAGAUAUUGUUUCGGUGGGGGAUGGGCUCGCGGCCUAUCAGCUUGUUGGUGGGGUGAUGGCCUACCAAGGCGGCGACGGGUAGCCGGCCUGAGAGGGUGGACGGUCACACUGGGACUGAGACACGGCCCAGACUCCUACGGGAGGCAGCAGUGGGGAAUAUUGCACAAUGGGCGCAAGCCUGAUGCAGCGACGCCGCGUGAGGGAUGGAGGCCUUCGGGUUGUGAACCUCUUUCGCCAGUGAAGCAGGCCUGCCUCGUUUGUGGGUGGGUUGACGGUAGCUGGAGAAGAAGCGCCGGCUAACUACGUG
rnacentral:rRNA from 1 species